ACGUUAUCAAGCCCCUUGUGCCCCCGCGGCGCAAGGAGGUAUUUUCCAAUUUACUCCAAACCAUUAACAUCUGAAAACCAUGGCAAUUGGCUCUGCUGAUUGUUAUAACCAAAGACAACUCUCAACAACGGAUAUCUUGGCUCCCACAACGAUGAAGAACGCAGCGAAAUGCGAUACGUAGUGUGAAUUGCAGAAUUCUGUGAACCAUCGAAUUUUUGAACGCAUAUUGCGCUCGAGCCUUCUGGCAAGAGCACGCCUGCCUCAGGGUCAUGAACACCUCACGCCACCUCUUUUGUUGGCAUGGAUCUGGCAGUCUCACCGAAAAUGUGAGUCUGCUGAAAUACAGAAGGCUUGUGCAACCACCCACCUCACGGCGGGUUGUCGCAACCACAUUGGUAAUUAGCCUCGGCUAAACAAAUGUGACUGCGGCUUUGGGAGCAUCGAUGCCUUAGCAGGUAUAUUUCCAACAUUUGACCUGAGUUCAGACGAGAUUACCCGCCGAACUUAAGCAUAUCAAUAAGCGGAGGAA
rnacentral:rRNA from 1 species